rnacentral:rRNA from 1 species
UACGGAGGGUGCAAGCGUUAUCCGGAAUCACUGGGCGUAAAGGGCGCGUAGGCGGCCUGUUAAGUCCGAUGUUAAAGACUGGGGCUCAACCCCAGCAUUGCGUUGGAUACUGGCAGGCUUGACGGUUGGAGAGGCGAGUGGAAUUACCAGUGUAGCGGUGAAAUGCGUAGAUACUGGUAGGAACACCCAUUGCGAAGGCAGCUCGCUGGACAACACGUGACGCUGAGGCGCGAAAGUGUGGGGAGCAAACCGGAUUAGAUACCCCGGUAGU